rnacentral:rRNA from 1 species
UACGUAGGCAGCGAGCGUUGUUCGGAGUUACUGGGCGUAAAGGGUGUGUAGGCGGUUCUUUAAGUUUGGUGUGAAAUCUCCCGGCUCAACCGGGAGGGUGCGUCGAAUACUGAGGGACUAGAGUGCGGGAGAGGAAAGUGGGAUUCCUGGUGUAGCGGUGAAAUGCGUAGAUAUCAGGAGGAACACCGGUGGUGUAGACGGCUUUCUGGACCGUAACUGACGCUGAGACACGAAAGCGUGGGUAGCAAACAGG